rnacentral:rRNA from 1 species
AACGAACGCUGGCGGCAUGCCUAACACAUGCAAGUCGAACGAGACCUUCGGGUCUAGUGGCGCACGGGUGCGUAACGCGUGGGAACCUGCCUUUAGGUUCGGAAUAACUCAGAGAAAUUUGAGCUAAUACCGGAUAAUGUCUUCGGACCAAAGAUUUAUCGCCUUUAGAUGGGCCCGCGUUGGAUUAGCUAGUUGGUGGGGUAAAGGCCUACCAAGGCGACGAUCGAUAGCUGGUCUGAGAGGAUGAUCAGCCACACUGGGACUGAGACACGGCCCAGACUCCUACGGGAGGCAGCAGUGGGGAAUAUUGGACAAUGGGGCGAAAGCCUGAUCCAGCAA